rnacentral:rRNA from 1 species
AACCAAUAGGUAUGCUUAGGGAGGARCCUUGCGUCACCAUUAGUUAGUUGGUGGGGGUAAAGGCCCUACCAAGACUAUGAUGUGUAGCCGGGCUGAGAGGUUGAACGGCCACAUUGGGACUGAGACACGGCCCAAACUCCUACGGGAGGCAGCAGUAGGGAAUUUUCGGCAAUGGAGGAAACUCUGACCGAGCAACGCCGCGUGAACGAUGAAGUAUUUCGGUACGUAAAGUUCUUUUAUUAGGGAAGAAUAAAUGAUGGAAAAAUCAUUCUGACGGUACCUAAUGAAUAAGCCCCGGCUAACUAUGUGCCAGCAGCCGCGGUAAUACAUAGGGGGCAAGCGUUAUCCGGAAUUAUUGGGCGUAAAGGGUGCGUAGGCGGUUAAAUAAGUUUAUGGUCUAAGUGCAAUGCUUAACAUUGUGAUGCUAUAAAAACUGUUUAGCUAGAGUAAGAUAGAGGCAAGUGGAAUUCCAUGUGUAGUGGUAAAAUGCGUAAAUAUAUGGAGGAACACCAGUAGCGAAGGCGGCUUGCUGGGUCUUUACUGACGCUGAGGCACGAAAGCGUGGGGAGCAAACAGGAUUAGAUACCCUGGUAGUCCACGCCGUAAACGAUGAGUACUAAAUGUUGGGUAAAACCAGUGUUGAAGUUAACACAUUAAGUACUCCGCCUGAGUAGUACGUACGCAAGUAUGAAACUUAAAGGAAUUGACGGGACUCCGCACAAGCGGUGGAUCAUGUUGUUUAAUUCGAAGGUACCCGAAAAACCUCACCAGGUCUUGACAUGCUUCUGCAAAGCUGUAGAAACACAGUGGAGGUUAUCAGUUGCACAGGUGGUGCAUGGUUGUCGUCAGCUCGUGUCGUGAGAUGUUGGGUUAAGUCCCGCAACGAGCGCAACCCUUAUUGUUAGUUGCCAGCACGUAAUGGUGGGGACUUUAGCAAGACUGCCAGUGAUAAAUUGGAGGAAGGUGGGGACGACGUCAAAUCAUCAUGCCCCUUAUGACCUGGGCUACAAACGUGAUACA